GCUUGUCUCAAAGAUUAAGCCAUGCAUGUCUUAGUGUAAAUAACUCUUAUGAAACUGCGAAUGGCUCAUUAAAUCAGUUAUCAAAUACGUGAUGGUCGCCUACUACAUGGAUAACCGUGGUAAUUCUAGAGCUAAUACAUGCGAAAAAGCCCGACUUCUGGAAGGGUUGUAUUUAUUAGAUAAAAAACCAAUCGGGGCAACCCGUUUGUGGUGAUUCAUAAUAACUUUGCGAAUCGUAUGGCCUUGUGCCGACGAUGAAUCAUUCAAAUUUCUGCCCUAUCAACUUUCGAUGGUAAGGUAUUGGCUUACCAUGGUUGCAACGGGUGACGGGGAAUUAGGGUUCGAUUCCGGAGAGGGAGCCUGAGAAAUGGCUACCACAUCCAAGGAAGGCAGCAGG
rnacentral:rRNA from 1 species